UAAAGAUUCAUCGGCUGCGGAUGGCCAUGCGGCGCAUUAGCUAGUCGGCGGGGUAACGGCCCACCGAGGCGACGAUGCGUAGGGGUUCUGAGAGGAAGGUCCCCCACACUGGUACUGAGACACGGACCAGACUCCUACGGGAGGCAGCAGUGAGGAAUAUUGGUCAAUGGCCGGGAGGCUGAACCAGCCAAGUCGCGUGAGGGAAGACGGCCCUACGGGUUGUAAACCUCUUUUGUCAGGGAGCAAGGGGCGGGUCGAGACCUGCUGUGAGAGUACCUGAAGAAAAAGCAUCGGCUAACUCCGUGCCAGCAGCCGCGGUAAUACGGAGGAUGCGAGCGUUAUCCGGAUUUAUUGGGUUUAAAGGGUGCGCAGGCGGAGGCACAAGUCAGCGGUAAAAUCGCGGGGCUCAACCCCGCUCCGCCGUUGAAACUGUGUCCCUUGAGUGCGCGAAGGGUGGGCGGAAUGCGUGGUGUAGCGGUGAAAUGCAUAGAUAUCACGCAGAACUCCGAUCGCGAAGGCAGCCUACCGGCGCGCGACUGACGCUCAUGCACGAAAGCGUGGGUAUCGAACAGGAUUAGAUACCCUGGUAGUCCACGCAGUAAACGAUGAAUGCUAUCUGUCCGGCCGGAAUGACGGCUGG
rnacentral:rRNA from 1 species